rnacentral:rRNA from 1 species
UCCUCCCUCUGUCGGCGUGCUUAACACAUGCAAGUCGAACGGAAAGGCCCUGCUUUUGUGGGGUGCUCGAGUGGCGAACGGGUGAGUAACACGUGAGUAACCUGCCCUUGACUUUGGGAUAACUUCAGGAAACUGGGGCUAAUACCGGAUAGGAGCUCCUGCUGCAUGGUGGGGGUUGGAAAGUUUCGGCGGUUGGGGAUGGACUCGCGGCUUAUCAGCUUGUUGGUGGGGUAGUGGCUUACCAAGGCUUUGACGGGUAGCCGGCCUGAGAGGGUGACCGGCCACAUUGGGACUGAGAUAAGGCCCAGACUCCUACGGGAGGCAGCAGUGGGGAAUAUUGCACAAUGGGCGGAAGCCUGAUGCAGCAACGCCGCGUGCGGGAUGACGGCCUUCGGGUUGUAAUCCGCUUUCGCCUGUGACGAAGCGUGAGUGACGGUAAUGGGUAAAGAAGCACCGGCUAACUACGUG